rnacentral:rRNA from 1 species
AUUGAACGCUGGCGGAAUGCUUUACACAUGCAAGUCGAACGGUAGAGGGGGCAACCCCUCGAGAGUGGCGAACGGGUGAGUAAUAUAUCGGAACGUGCCCAGUCGUGGGGGAUAACGUAGCGAAAGUUACGCUAAUACCGCAUACGAUCUAAGGAUGAAAGCGGGGGAUGGCAAGACCUCGCGCGAUUGGAGCGGCCGAUAUCAGAUUAGGUAGUUGGUGGGGUAAAGGCUCACCACGCCAACGAUCUGUAGCUGGUCUGAGAGGACGACCAGCCACACUGGAACUGAGACACGGUCCAGACUCCUACGGGAGGCAGCAGUGGGGAAUUUUGGACAAUGGACGCAAGUCUGAUCCAGCCAUUCCGCGUGCAGGAUGAAGGCCCUCGGGUUGUAAACUGCUUUUGUACGGAACGAAAAGGUCUCUCUUAAUACGGGGGACUCAUGACGGUACCGUAAGAAUAAGCACCGGCUAACUACGUGCCAGCCGCCGCGGUAA